rnacentral:rRNA from 1 species
UCCUACGGGAGGCAGCAGUGGGGAAUAUUGCACAAUGGGCGCAAGCCUGAUGCAGCCAUGCCGCGUGUGUGAAGAAGGCCUUCGGGUUGUAAAGCACUUUCAGCGAGGAGGAAGGUGGUGAACUUAAUACGUUCAUCAAUUGACGUUACUCGCAGAAGAAGCACCGGCUAACUCCGUGCCAGCACCCGCGGUAAUA